rnacentral:lncRNA from 1 species
CGCGUGCAUGUGUCCAUCAGAUCUACCACCUCAAUUAAUGAGGGGAAUUUGGUGGCCCUUAUUUUUUUUAUUUAUAUUUUUUUUCUUCUGAUUUUUCAAUUAAUCCACUUAUUUUGAUUAAUUCAUAUUAAUUUCAUUUUUAAGCCAAAAAAUAUGGGAUUUUCACCAAAAAUCUUUAAAUAUUUUCCUCUUUCAUUUUAUGAAUUAAAAUUAUUUUUUGGAUUAAAUUUGAUAUUUUUCUUGAUUUAAGUGUUUUGUUGUAUAUUUUUUAUUGUUUAAAAAUACUUAUGACUUUUCAAAAAUUAUGAAUUUUUUUGUCUAAGGUCCUCUGACCUUGUUUGAUCUAGGAUAAAUCUCUUGGACAUUUAUUUGGUGUUUUGAAGAGGUUUUAGGUUUUGAUCAAACUAAAUGUAAUUUAAAUGCAUUUUUUAUUUGAUUUUUAAUUGAUUAAAUGUAUAAAAUUUAUGUUGAGCCAUUUUUAUUGACUUGUGAUGUUGGACUAUGUGUUUGGGCCUUGGUCAAGGUUGAUUUGACUUUUGUUGGAUUAAAAUAAUUGGAUUUAGGGGAUUGAUGAAAUGUACAUUUUAUCUCCCAAAAUGAAUGAAUGAUUUUAAUUUGAUAAAAUUCCUAUCAUGACCGAUUUGUGUUUCUUUCAUUUCCCCUUCCUCUUCAUCUCCAAUCCAUUCUUUCCCAUCCCUUUCAUUAACCAAUGAAAUCUCAAGACCCUAAGG